GCUACAUAGCCUGUCUCCAGUUUUCCUCAAUUUGACUAAUUAAGAAGGGAUAAUAGGAUAUUUGACUGGCAUAUCAUUAAAAAGUCCGUAAAACGAAACCUCUGCCAGUCACUUUGACCGGCACCAUUUUUUUCUAGCGGAAACUCUGACACACACACACAUUCACUGCACCUGUCACGAGGUGAACAGCCAGACACUGGUGCUGUCAGACUUGUUGGAAUGGCAGUCACAGCCCAGAUUCGGCUGAAGUGACAGGCUCUUGUCAUAGAGACAAAUCCUGUCUCCCAUCUUGCAUACUCUGUCACUCUCACUGCUGUCUUACAGAGAGAGAGAGAGAGAGAGAGAAAGAAAGAAAGAAAGAAAGAGAGUGUGUGUGUGUGUGUGUGUGUGUGUGUGUGUGUGUGUGUGUGUGUGUGUGUGUGUGUGUGUGUGUGUGUGUGUGUGUGCACCAUCUUCUGAAAGCCAUCUGCCAUGGGCUUCUGAUUAUGUACGCUGAAAGCAUAAUUGCUUUCGGCCUGUACUGGGGAAGUGCUUCCGGGGAACACGGCCCUCAUCCAAAACGACAAAAGCAGAUGACCGGGAGAAGAGGCAAGAGGCACACCGUUUCCAUUUCGACGCCAUGUGAGGCACUGGCUGAAGAAGAGCAUCAUGGGGGAUAUGCAAAUCACUCCCUUCUCUGCUGUGUCCCAUUGGGCAGAUUACUUACAUGUUUAUUUAUUUGGCUCCAAUUAGACUUAGAGUAAAUGAUGAAAAAUGGCACAUCAUUCAGGCACAUAAUGGUUUUAUUUUUAAUGCUUCAAAUUUUUAAGAUGUGAUUUGACAAGAUCUGCAUAGCAUUAAAUGUGCAGACCUCUCUGUUGACAGAAGAUAGGGAAAGCGUUACUUUUAACCACAAGCGCAAGGCAUUUCAGGGGCCUGGAAUCUGGUGAUUUCAUCAAACCAGGUGGUGUAAGGUGCCAAUACCCCUCUCUCUCUCUCUCUCUCUCCCUCUCUCUCUCUCUCUCUCUCUCUCUCUCUCUCUCUCCCUCUCUCUAUCUCUCGCUCUCUCUCUUUCUCUCUCCACACAACAUUCCCAGCAGAUGCAAACAGCAUGCAUGACCAUUAAAUGUCUUCAAUAUGGAAUUUCAGUCUAAGAUGGACAAUACUGCAUUAGCAUGUAGUCAGUGUCACUGGAACAUAUGUUUCUCUGCUACUGAUUUAAUUGAAUUUGUUUUAUUUGUUUAUUUUGAGUGCAUGAGUCCAUGUUUUUGUACUUUCCAUAUUUUGCCCACAAACAAUGGGGAGCUACUGUAGUGCUUUGUCGAUGUUUUUGUUUGUUUCUUUGUUUCUUUGUUUGUUUUUGAGCCAUCCCCAUGUGAUCACCUCUGGUUCUUCUACGUCAUGGUAAAGCCUUGGGUUCCAACUGCUGUGCUUUCAACAGCUUGGAGGUGUACAGGUGGAUAUAACAGGGAUACAGAUGGUUCAGUGACCCUGACGCUCCCACCAGCACCAUUUAACUAAAGACUUCCCCAUCCCACCUGGCUACUGAGGAGCCCUCUAUACAGCUCAACCAGCUGCUGCUUGUGUCUGGAUGAAGAGUAAACCUGCAUGUCCUUGGCCCCUGAGGCAGACCCCUCUUUCAUCUGUGUGAGUAGAGAGAGAGAGAGAGAGAGAGAGAGAGAUGCACAGGCACAUUGCACCCCCAUCACUUUUAUUGCUCUUUUAUCUUUUCAUUCCUCGUUUGGUUCCCGGUAACACCAUUCCCCCAGUCCAUGGGCCUGAUCUCUCUUCCCGAGCUGAGCUUGAGUACACUGACUCUCAUCCUUAUUGGUGUGUGUGUGCGCGUGUCGGUGUGUGUUGCAGCCAGCCAUCCAGUGAACUUGAAUGUUAAUCCAUACAGUAUCCGUGUGUUGUUCACUUUGCUGUUCCGUUGUCAUUCAGACUUUUGAUGUUUCAUCACAUUGAAUGCAAGUCUAGAAAUGUACAUAUGUUAAAAAUGUACAGUUGAAAUGGAGGUUGAGUAAUCAAGGCUCUGCUUGAUUUAGGAUUGAUGUUUUUGAAACUACUGUAGUCUACACUGUUCAUUGAAGUAAUGCAAUAUCUCAUGUAUGUAAUGUCUUGAGAGAAGCCAAAUGGACUCUUUUACAAGGCUUGGUCAUCAAUUGUAAAAAUUUACACUGACUGCCUUUUAACUGUUUUCAUUGUUUCUUUCUUGUGAUUUGCACUUUUUUGUACUAAUGAAUAAAUGUUUGUGUUUUUAUUUAUUUUGAGGGUACUGCAUCAGAAGCUGUCAUGUUGUGUAACUUUAAUUUCAUAGUUGUAGUAGUGUUAUGUUGGAUGGGUUAUUAUGCUGAAAAUAAAACUGCUUUGCUGAUGA